rnacentral:rRNA from 1 species
AGAGUUUGAUCCUGGCUCAGGAUGAACGCUAGCUACAGGCUUAACACAUGCAAGUCGAGGGGCAGCAUUGGAGUAGCAAUACUCAGAUGGCGACCGGCGCACGGGUGAGUAACACGUAUCCAACCUGCCGCUUACUCGGGGAUAGCCUUUCGAAAGAAAGAUUAAUACCCGAUGGUAUAAAGAGUUCGCAUGUUCUCUUUAUUAAAGAAUUUCGGUAAGCGAUGGGGAUGCGUUCCAUUAGAUAGUUGGCGGGGUAACGGCCCACCAAGUCUACGAUGGAUAGGGGUUCUGAGAGGAAGGUCCCCCACAUUGGAACUGAGACACGGUCCAAACUCCUACGGGAGGCAGCAGUGAGGAAUAUUGGUCAAUGGACGAGAGUCUGAACCAGCCAAAGUAGCGUGAAGGAUGACUGCCCUAUGGGUUGUAAACUUCUUUUACAAGGGAAUAAAGUGAGGGACGUGUCCCUUUUUGUAUGUACCUUAUGAAUAAGGAUCGGCUAACUCCGUGCCAGCCGCCGC